rnacentral:rRNA from 1 species
GAUGAGCGCUGGCGGCGUGCCUAAUACAUGCAAGUCGAACGCUGGAAAUCUAGCUUGCUAGAUUGAAGGAGUGGCGAACGGGUGAGUAAUACAUAAGCAACCUACCCACGAAGACUGGGAUAAUCUCUGGAAACGGGGACUAAUACCGGAUAGGUAAUCGGAAGGCAUCUUCUGAUUAUUAAAGGUUAAAAACACUGGUGGAUGGGCUUAUGGCGCAUUAGUUAGUUGGUGAGGUAACGGCCCACCAAGACGAUGAUGCGUAGCCGGCCUGAGAGGGUGAACGGCCACAUUGGGACUGAGACACGGCCCAGACUCCUACGGGAGGCAGCAGUAGGGAAUUUUCGGCAAUGGGGGAAACCCUGACCGAGCAACGCCGCGUGAGUGAUGACGGCCUUCGGGUUGUAAAGCUCUGUUGUAAGGGAAGAACGGUAGAUAGAGAAUAUCUAAAUGACGGUACCUUACCAGAAAGCCGCGGCUAACUACGUG